UACAGAGGUCUCAAGCGUUGUUCGGAUUCAUUGGGCGUAAAGAGCGUGUAGGCGGUUGGGUAGGUCCGUUGUGAAAACUCGAGCUCAACCUCGAGACGCCGAUGGAAACCCCCCAGCUAGAGUCCGGAAGAGGAGAGUGGAAUUCCUGGUGUAGCGGUGGAAUGCGCAGAUAUCAGGAGGAACACCAAUAGCGAAGGCAGCUCGCUGGGACGGUACUGACGCUGAGGCGCGAAAGCGUGGGGAGCGAACAGG
rnacentral:rRNA from 1 species